GAUUACCACGGCUGUCAGCUGCCAAAGUAUUUUCCUGUCAAGCUGUAGCUUAUCUCGGAUGCUGUGUGAUGACAGUACGGUCCACAUAGAUCAUCUCAGCUAACGAAUUUUAACGAGGCAAACGAGCAGACGGCCUACCUAAUGGAAGUAGUACCGUCACCCAUGGACAUCCGCACCAUAGUUUUGCGGAUGCGUUGCCACCUCUAUUUGGGGAAGAGGGAGAGGAAAGGGUGGGAAAAGGGAAAGGGCAACCGACUCUCUCACUCAUCAGACGAAACGCAGCCGUAGAAGACUACUUCACGCUGAUCUUCUGUGAGAGGGUGGUACUUCCCCGGUUGAGCCAGCCCAUGUUCGAGUAGCAGUAAUUUCACCACAGCUAAGCUCUACCACCUUAAAAAUUGUGUUUAUGUAUUUAUAAUGGAGGGACUACUUGCAUGGAAUGCAUGCGUGGACUUGUAUCUCGAAUACUUGUCAUCUUAGAAACAUAUUGCCAAAUUGCAUAUUAAUAACAUUCCCCUCUAAUGCACAGCAAAGUCCCGGUUGAAUUUGAAAGUAUUUCCUUCAUUAUUAUUUUAAUAUGGACACCAAAUGAAAAUUACGUUUACCAUAUUAAUAUAAAGUUUAUACUUCACAGUAUAAGUAAAAUUAUUAGGUAAAUUUAAAUUAAAAUUUUACUUUCAAAUAUAAAAUUUUUCAUUGAAAUUAUACGUUAUAACAAUAUACAAAUAUAUUAUGUUAUAACCAAAGAA